rnacentral:rRNA from 1 species
GACCAUUUGACCUCAAAUCAGGUAGGACUACCCGCUGAACUUAAGCAUAUCAAUAAGCGGAGGAAAAGAAACUAACAAGGAUUCCCCUAGUAACUGCGAGUGAAGCGGGAAAAGCUCAAAUUUAAAAUCUGGCUAGCUUCGCUGCCCGAGUUGUAAUCUAGAGAAGCAUUAUCAGCGCUCGCGGCGUGUACAAGUGUCCUGGAAUGGACCAUCAUAGAGGGUGACAAUCCCGUCUUUGACAUGGCUGCCUU